rnacentral:rRNA from 1 species
AUUGAACGCUGGCGGCAUGCCUUACAUGCACGUCGAACGGCAGCACGGGUGCUUGCACCUGGUGGCGAGUGGCGAACGGGUGAGUAAUACAUCGGAACAUGUCCUGUAGUGGGGGAUAGCCCGGCGAAAGCCGGAUUAAUACCGCAUACGAUCUACGGAUGAAAGCGGGGGACCUUCGGGCCUCGCGCUAUAGGGUUGGCCGAUGGCUGAUUAGCUAGUUGGUGGGGUAAAGGCCUACCAAGGCGACGAUCAGUAGCUGGUCUGAGAGGACGACCAGCCACACUGGGACUGAGACACGGCCCAGACUCCUACGGGAGGCAGCAGUGGGGAAUUUUGGACAAUGGGCGAAAGCCUGAUCCAGCAAUGCCGCGUGUGUGAAGAAGGCCUUCGGGUUGUAAAGCACUUUUGUCCGGAAAGAAAUCCUUGGCCCUAAUACGGUCGGGGGAUGACGGUACCGGAAGAAUAAGCACCGGCUAACUACGUG